UACGAGGGGUGCAAGCGUUGCUCGGAAUUAUUGGGCGUAAAGGGUAGGUAGGUGGUCUCAUUUGUCUGGGGUGAAAGCCUUGAGCUUAACUCAAGAAGUGCCUCAGAAACGGUGAGACUGGAGUCCUGGAGAGGGUCGUGGAAUUCCCGGUGUAGCGGUGAAAUGCGUAGAUAUCUGGAGGAAUACCGGUGGCGAAGGCGGCAUCCUGGACCGAGAUUGACACUGAUGAGCGAAAGCUAGGGGAGCAAACGGG
rnacentral:rRNA from 1 species